AGAUUCCAUGCCGGAAUGAAGCCAUGCUUGUAGAGAGUGCCCGAGAGGCCUGGAAGAGACUUGUGACCUGCUUUCACAACUGCAGAGCCUCCUGGGGCCACACCUUCACAAAGGUGACUUUGGUCAGCUCUCCGGUCCAGACCCCCCAGGUGAGGUGGGCAAAAGAGCACCUGAUGGAGCCUCCCGGUCCUCUCAUGAGCCUAUGGAAGAUGCUGCUCCCAUUCUCUCCCCGUUAGCUUCCCCGGAUCCUCGAGCCAAGCAUCCUCAGGAUCUGGCCUCCACCCCAUCACCAGGCCCAAUGACCACCUCAGUCUCCUCCCUAAGUGCCUCCCAGCCACCAGAACCUUCCCUUCCCCUAGAACGCCCCUCACCCGAGCCACCUGCACUUUUCCCUCACCCACCACACACCCCUGAUCCUUUGGCCUGCUCUCCGCCUCCUCCAAAAGGCUUCACUGCUCCUCCCCUGCGGGACUCCACACUCAUAACUCCAUCUCACUGUGACUCAGUGGCACUUCCACCGGGCACCGUCCCU
rnacentral:sRNA from 1 species